rnacentral:lncRNA from 1 species
UUCAUUCUUCUUAUUUCCAUUUUAUUUUUCUGUUUUACUUUUUAAUUAUUAAAAAUAUUUCAAUUAUUCAUAAAAAUACAAAAAAAUAUUUUUUACUUUCUUUAAUGUCUUAUUUAAUUUAUUUUAAUUUUAAUUUUCGUUUUUAUUAAAUGUUAAAAUUUUAUUUUUAUUAUUUGUUUCAAAUAGUCCAUUUUAACACACAUUUUUCUAUUUUAUUUUCAUAACUUAAAAUUAUUUUGAAAUUCUGAUUUUUGGGAUGAUGGUUGACC